ACAACAUAUGAUAAGUGUCCUCUCCACAGUCACUGAGCACACAGGUCCUCACCAUGGGAUGGAGCUGGAUCAUUCUCUUCCUCCUGUCAGUAACUACAGCUGUCCAUUCCCAGGUCCAGCUGCAGCAGUUUGGAGAUGAGCUGGGGAAACCUGGGUCCUCAGUGAUGUUCUUCUGCAAGGCUUCAGGGUACACCUUCACUGACCACUAUCUUACCUGGGUGAAGCAGUGGCCUGGACAGGGUCUGGAGUGGAUCGGAUGGAUUAUUCCUGGAAGUGGUGGUACUGGCUACAAUCAAAAGUUCCAGGACAAGGCCAAACUGACUACAGACAAGUCCUCUAGCACAGCCUACAUAGAGCUCAGCCACCUGACAUCUGAGGACUCUGGGGUCUAUUAUUGUACAAGAAACACAGUGCUGCAACCCAUAUCUUGA